UGGACAGGGGGGAGCUACGUGGCCUUGGCAACAGGUAUUUUCUCUGCAUUUAUGGUGGCGCCGACGACCAGCCGAGCAGCACUCCGCUGACCAGUUCCCUUCGAGCAGCCAGACAGGGGGGGUAGUACUGGAUGGCCUCAGCUUAAGGUCCUGAUGGUGCUGGAUCCCUAUCAGGAAGACAGGAGAAUUUCUACAGGGUGCCAAUCAAGACAAAGUAAGGGCACUUCUCCACCUGUCCCCUCCACCUGGACAGGUGGAGGAGUGCAAGAGUCCAACAUGUCUGUAUAGAUUGGGUUUGUUUUCAACCCACUAAAAUACAACAGUUAAAAAGUCCAGUGGACUCUUGAAUAAC